GCUUAACACAUGCAAGUCGAACGAUGAAGCCCUUCGGGGUGGAUUAGUGGCGAACGGGUGAGUAACACGUGGGCAAUCUGCCCUUCACUCUGGGACAAGCCCUGGAAACGGGGUCUAAUACCGGAUAACACCUUGUCCCGCAUGGGAGGGGGUUGAAAGCUCCGGCGGUGAAGGAUGAGCCCGCGGCCUAUCAGCUUGUUGGUGGGGUGAAGGCCUACCAAGGCGACGACGGGUAGCCGGCCUGAGAGGGCGACCGGCCACACUGGGACUGAGACACGGCCCAGACUCCUACGGGAGGCAGCAGUGGGGAAUAUUGCACAAUGGGCGAAAGCCUGAUGCAGCGACGCCGCGUGAGGGAUGACGGCCUUCGGGUUGUAAACCUCUUUCAGCAGGGAAGAAGCGAGAGUGACGGUACCUGCAGAAGAAGCGCCGGCUAACUACGUGCCAGCAGCCGCGGUAAUACGUAGGGCGCAAGCGUUGUCCGGAAUUAUUGGGCGUAAAGAGCUCGUAGGCGGCUUGUUGCGUCGGUUGUGAAAGCCCGGGGCUUAACCCCGGGUCUGCAGUCGAUACGGGCAGGCUAGAGUGUGGUAGGGGAGAUCGGAAUUCCUGGUGUAGCGGUGAAAUGCGCAGAUAUCAGGAGGAACACCGGUGGCGAAGGCGGAUCUCUGGGCCAUUACUGACGCUGAGGAGCGAAAGCGUGGGGAGCGAACAGGAUUAGAUACCCUGGUAGUCCACGCCGUAAACGUUGGGAACUAGGUGUUGGCGACAUUCCACGUCGUCGGUGCCGCAGCUAACGCAUUAAGUUCCCCGCCUGGGGAGUACGGCCGCAAGGCUAAAACUCAAAGGAAUUGACGGGGGCCCGCACAAGCAGCGGAGCAUGUGGCUUAAUUCGACGCAACGCGAAGAACCUUACCAAGGCUUGACAUAUACCGGAAAGCAUCAGAGAUGGUGCCCCCCUUGUGGUCGGUAUACAGGUGGUGCAUGGCUGUUGUCAGCUCGUGUCGUGAGAUGUUGGGUUAAGUCCCGCAACGAGCGCAACCCUUGUUCUGUGUUGCCAGCAUCCCUUUCGGGGUGAUGGGGACUCACAGGAGACUGCCGGGGUCAACUCGGAGGAAGGUGGGGACGACGUCAAGUCAUCAUGCCCCUUAUGUCUUGGGCUGCACACGUGCUACAAUGGCCGGUACAAUGAGCUGAGAUGCCGCGAGGCGGAGCGAAUCUCAAAAAGCCGGUCUCAGUUCGGAUUGGGGUCUGCAACUCGACCCCAUGAAGUCGGAGUUGCUAGUAAUCGCAGAUCAGCAUUGCUGCGGUGAAUACGUUCCCGGGCCUUGUACACACCGCCCGUCACGUCACGAAAGUCGGUAACACCCGAAGCCGGUGGCCCAACCCCUUGUGGGAGGGAGCUGUCGAAGGUGGG
rnacentral:rRNA from 1 species